GAGGAAAGUCCGGGCUCCACAGGACAGAGUGGUCGUUAACGGCGACCAGGGGAAACCCUCGGGAAAGUGCCACAGAAAGCAAACCGCCGCCCUGUCUUAACAGAUGGCGGUAAGGGUGAAAGGGUGCGGUAAGAGCGCACCGGCGACCCGGGAGACCGGGUCGGCCGGGUAAACCCCACUGGGAGCAAGGCCAACUAGGGAUGUGUAUCGGGGUUGCCCGCCCCAGCAUCCGGGUAGGCCGCUUGAGCCCGUCGGUAACGGCGGGCCUAGAUGAAUGACCGCCUAUGGGGUUGUGGUAACACGCCCCGGGACAGAACUCGGCUUA
rnacentral:RNase_P_RNA from 1 species